rnacentral:rRNA from 1 species
UGGGGAAUAUUGGACAAUGGGGGAAACCCUGAUCCAGCAAUGCCGCGUGGGGGAUGAAGGCCUUCGGGUUGUAAAGCCCUUUUGGCGGGGACGAUGAUGACGGUACCCGCAGAAGAAGCCCCGGCUAACUUCGUGCCAGCAGCCGCGGUAAUACGAAGGGGGCUAGCGUUGUUCGGAAUUACUGGGCGUAAAGGGCGCGUAGGCGGCCUUGAUAGUUGGGCGUGAAAGGCCUGGGCUCAACCCGGGAACUGCGUUCAAUACUGUAAGGCUAGAGUGUGGGAGAGGUUGGUGGAAUUCCCAGUGUAGAGGUGAAAUUCGUAGAUAUUGGGAAGAACACCGGUGGCGAAGGCGGCCAACUGGACCACAACUGACGCUGAGGCGCGAAAGCGUGGGGAGCAAA